rnacentral:rRNA from 1 species
GACGAACGCUGGCGGCGUGCUUAACACAUGCAAGUGGAGCGACGAACCAGGGCUUGCCCUGGGGCAGAGCCGCGAACGGGUGAGUAACACGUGGGUAACGUGCCCCGAUGAUCGGGACAACCCGGGGAAACCCGGGCUAAUACCGAAUGUGCUCCCCUCACACCAGUGAGGGAUGGAAAGGAAGCUUCGGCCUCCGCAUCGGGAUCGGCCCGCGGCCCAUUAGCUUGUUGGUGAGGUAACGGCNCACCAAGGCUGCGAUGGGUAGCUGGUCUGAGAGGACGAUCAGCCACACUGGGACUGAGACACGGCCCAGACUCCUACGGGAGGCAGCAGUGGGGAAUCUUGCGCAAUGCGCGAAAGCGUGACGCAGCAACGCCGCGUGGGGGAAGACGGCU